GAUGAACGCUGGCGGCGUGCCUAAUACAUGCAAGUCGAGCGAACAGACGAGGAGCUUGCUCCUCUGACGUUAGCGGCGGACGGGUGAGUAACACGUGGAUAACCUACCUAUAAGACUGGGAUAACUUCGGGAAACCGGAGCUAAUACCGGAUAAUAUAUUGAACCGCAUGGUUCAAUAGUGAAAGACGGUUUUGCUGUCACUUAUAGAUGGAUCCGCGCCGCAUUAGCUAGUUGGUAAGGUAACGGCUUACCAAGGCAACGAUGCGUAGCCGACCUGAGAGGGUGAUCGGCCACACUGGAACUGAGAAACGGUCCAGACUCCUACGGGAGGCAGCAGUAGGGAAUCUUCCGCAAUGGGCGAAAGCUCGACGGAGCAACGCCGCGUGAGUGAUGAAGGUCUUCGGAUCGUAAAACUCUGUUAUUAGGGAAGAACAAAUGUGUAAGUAACUAUGCACGUCUUGACGGUACCUAAUCAGAAAGCCACGGCUAACUACGUG
rnacentral:rRNA from 1 species